rnacentral:rRNA from 1 species
AUUGAACGCUGGCGGGAUGCUUUACACAUGCAAGUCGAACGGCAGCGCGGACUUCGGUCUGGCGGCGAGUGGCGAACGGGUGAGUAAUGUAUCGGAACGUGCCCAGUAUCGGGGGAUAACUACGCGAAAGCGUAGCUAAUACCGCAUACGCCCUACGGGGGAAAGCAGGGGAUCGUAAGACCUUGCACUAUUGGAGCGGCCGAUAUCGGAUUAGCUAGUUGGUGAGGUAACGGCUCACCAAGGCGACGAUCCGUAGCUGGUUUGAGAGGACGACCAGCCACACUGGAACUGAGACACGGCCCAGACUCCUACGGGAGGCAGCAGUGGGGAAUUUUGGACAAUGGGGGCAAACCUGAUCCAGCCAUCCCGCGUGUGCGAUGAAGGCCUUCGGGUUGUAAAGCACUUUUGGCAGGAAAGAAACGUCGCGGGCUAAUACCCCGUGGAACUGACGGUACCUGCAGAAUAAGCACCGGCUAACUACGUG